ACCAUAUCACAUGUGAUCACUGCAGUUAAGCAACAUCUAGCCUGGUUAGUACCUAGAUGAGUGACCAUUUGGGAAUACCAGGUGCUGUAAG